CCGUCAAUUCCUUUGAGUUUCAUCGUUGCCGACGUACUCCCCAGGUGGAAUACUUAAUGCUUUCGCUUAGCCGCUUACUGUGUAUCGCAAACAGCGAGUAUUCAUAGUUUACUGUGUGGACUACCAGGGUAUCUAAUCCUGUUUGAUACCCACACCUUCGUGCAUUAGCGUCAGUUACACCCCAGUGAGCUGCCUUCGCAAUUGGAGUUCCUUGUGAUAUCUAUGCAUUUCACCGCUACACCACAAAUUCCGCCCACCUCAUGUGUACUCAAGAAAAAGAGUUUCAACUGCAAGUUUAUGGUUGAGCCAUAAAAUUUCACAACUGACUUCCUUUCCCGCCUACGCACCCUUUAAACCCAAUAAAUCCGGAUAACGCUUGGAUCCUCCGUAUUACCGCGGC
rnacentral:misc_RNA from 2 species